AUGUCUGAACCGCUGAAGCUCAUCGGCUCCUUCGGCAGCCCCGUGGUCCACCGCGCGGAGGUGGCCCUCCUUCUGAAGGGAGUCCCCUACGAGUUCAUCCAACAAGACCUCGCAAACAAAAGCGAGCUGCUGCUGAAGCACAACCCCGUCCACAAGAAGGUCCCCGUGCUCCUCCAUGGCGACCGGCCUGCGGUAUGCGAGUCGCUUGUCAUUAUUGAGUAUGUUGAUGAGGCCUUCGAUGGCCCGCCGCUCCUCCCCUCCGACCCCUUCGCCCGUGCCUCCGCUUGCUUCUGGGCUCGCUUCGUCAACGAGAAGUGCCGGAGGUCUGUAUGGAUGGCACUCUGGACGGACGGUCAAGUGCAAGCGUCAUCAGCGAGGGAGGCGGCAGAGAACCUAAAGCUUCUUGAGGGCCAGUUGCCGGAGGGGAAGAGGUUUUUCGGAGGUGAUACUAUUGGCUUCCUCGACAUAGCCAUGGGCGGGAUCGCGCAUUGGUUAGGAGUGUUUGAGGAGAUGGCCGGGGCAAGGCUGCUAACCGAGGAGGACCGCCCAUUGGACCGCCCAUUGUUGUGCAAGUGGGCGAGGGACUACAAGGCUGACGACAUUGUGAGGCAAUGCCUUCCAGAGAGGGGUCGUGUGCUUGCAGAGUUGACGGCGAGGAAGGAUCGGUAUGUGUCCAUAGCUAUGACGAUGGCCGCAAAGAACUCCUAG
rnacentral:rRNA from 1 species